UGAGGAAUAUUGGACAAUGGGUGCAAGCCUGAUCCAGCCAUCCCGCGUGAAGGACUAAGGCCCUAUGGGUUGUAAACUUCUUUUAUACUGGGAUAAACCUACUUACGUGUAAGUAGCUGAAGGUACAGUAUGAAUAAGCACCGGCUAACUCCGUGCCAGCAGCCGCGGUAAUACGGAGGGUGCAAGCGUUAUCCGGAUUUAUUGGGUUUAAAGGGUCCGUAGGCGGAUCUGUAAGUCAGUGGUGAAAUCUCAUAGCUUAACUAUGAAACUGCCAUUGAUACUGCAGGUCUUGAGUGAGAUUGAGGUAGCUGGAAUAAGUAGUGUAGCGGUGAAAUGCAUAGAUAUUACUUAGAACACCAAUUGCGAAGGCAGGUUACCAAGUCUUAACUGACGCUGAUGGACGAAAGCGUGGGGAGCGAACA
rnacentral:rRNA from 1 species